UUGCUAUGAUGAUUACUAGAAGUUAUAGAAAGUCUUGUUGAAUUCUUAAUGAAAUGUCGACAAAAAUUGUCGAUCUGAGCGGUUACCUGAGCAA
rfam:Citrus clementina cultivar Clemenules unplaced genomic scaffold scaffold_7, whole genome shotgun sequence.